CGUUAAUUGCAUGACACACUCCAGCAACAGGGCAUAUAGCUUUGACAACAACAAAUGAAGUUGUCACAACCAAAACAAGAAGAACCACCAGCCAGCCAACUUUGAUGAGCACAACAAAAGAGACGGAGUCUAUUACAACAACCAAUGAGACAACAACCAGCUACACAAGCAGAGAAUAUAUGACAACAACAUCGUCACAUACGCUGUCAGGCUCUUUCACUACAACAACAGGAGUCAAUGCAUCUGUGAGGACCUCAACUAUUUCUGAAGGAAGAAAUACAGUGGCAGCCAUUUCUAAUGGUUAUACAUCAAAAGUAGGUGGAGUUACAGGCAUAAUUCUCCUUUGCCUGGUGGCAGCAGUAUUCAUUUUCUUGUGGUUAAGACAUAGAAAUCAUAGAAACCAGAUUGUAUAUCACCCCAAACCAGAUCCCUGCACUUCCUACAUACCUUUACCAGUCUGUGCAUCUGAACACAGUUCGGCUCAAUCAAACAAAGCAGAUGAAAACUCCACAGAAGCCUCUGUCACUGACAAAAAUCCAGGUGCGGACACUUGUGAUGAGCUACUCCCACAAACAGACUCCUGAUAAGCCUUGUU
rnacentral:lncRNA from 1 species